AAAUCACCAGUGUUUCCCACGAUCAACGUUGCGCAAGUUGUUCACUUUCACGUUCAUGAGCAAACAAGUCCUAAUCUCUUCUCGUACUUCAUCAUCAUUGCUUUCUUCCUUUUCAUGUCUUUGCAUCAAUUAGCAUGCGGUGCCGGUGACCGUCCAAGCCCUGGUUUUGAAGGAGAUUCCGAUGGCCUGGGUUGUCAUGGUUCACAUGGAUCUCCUAAAACCGGAGGAGGUUCUGAUGACUUAAGUGGUCAUGGUUCAUAUGGAUCUCCUCCUCCUGCUAAAGCCGAGAUAGGUUACGAUUAUUAAGAUAACUAAUGCUCCCAUAUCGCCCAGAUUGUUAGGCAUGGUGGCUUGGAAGCUUUUCACAAUGACAAUAUAAUUGGUGCCUCCUUCGGCUGCACUAUUUGGGGAGAAGCUAGGGAAAGACAUCUUAGAAAUGAAGUAAUGAUUUGCCAUACGACAGAGGUUCUGCUUGGCGCGUUGAGAGUAAUUUGUCGACUACUGAAAAGGUUUUUUCCUGUAUAUGCUUCUCUGUUUCGAGCAGGAGCAUAUUGCUCCCAUAUUAAAGUAUGACCUGGUAAGAACACAUAGCUAGUCAAGCCUCAAGAUUGUAGGAUUCUGUCUGUUUUUAUUUGGGGAUGUGAAUGCAAUAAAUGACAUUAGGCUUGAAUUCUGGAACUAGGUUGUUUAUUUGGUGAUGUGAAUCCAAUAAAUGGCAUAAAUUCUUGCAA